GCACGGCCAUACCACCCUGAACGCGCCCGAUCUCGUCUGAUCUCGGAAGCCAAGCAGGGUCGGGCCUGGUCAGUACUUGGGACGGAGACCGCCUGGGAAUACCAGGUGCUGUAAGCU
ensembl:rRNA 5S_rRNA 5S ribosomal RNA